UGGGCUCAAGGCAGUACCCUAUCAACGGACCUUGAUAUUGUGCGGGUUAUGCAUGACUACAUUAUGAACAAAGGCAUGCCCAUUGAAGUACAGCAAGGGUUGCGGCGUUUUAUAUUCUAAUAUCAAUGAAGAAUUGGCGUAGUGGUAUAAUAAUUUCGUUGGUGACAGUAAGAACCCAUUGAGAUCGUAUAAUCUAACAAUCACAAAUCAUUAACGAUAACGACACCGAUGGCAAGCUAGGGCUUCUAACUAAAAUUGCCGUACGCCACCUGUAUACUGAGCAAACACCUCGACAAGUUACACCGCCAAAAAAGUAAUGGACUACAGAGUUUGCGACUGCUGAUCUUAGAUGAACAUAUCCAACAUUGGAACUAUAAUUGCAUUGAUUAAAUUUGGCCAAAGCCCGUCGCGGCUUCCUAUUCGCAGUUCUCCUGAUUGUGAAGUCGGGUGACAUCAUGCGUCCUGUUGUCGUUCUUAUUAUCCUAUUUAUAGCGACAAGCUUCAGUAAGAAAAACUACACUGUGUGCAUCCUUGAGCGCUUCAAUAAGGCCCUGAAGAAAAGUAACGAAGUUCAAAACAUCCAACAAUGUAUUGAUGAGUUUAGACGUACUCUUGUCUCUUAUAUUCUGCCUAAAAGUAGGGACAGGCCAGAGUACUUGCGAGGGUCAUUCCUGAUGGCGGAGUCAGGUCGUGUGAUAAACAGCGAAGUCAAGCAUUGUAUGGAUGAGAAAAAAGUCCCGAGUUACCCGCAACAGAUGGUUGUAAACGUAGAGUUGAUUGAGGCAGUUUUAAAUGUAAUAAAUGAAGAAACUGCAAGAAUUUGCAAUGAGAGAAAUGCCUCGACGACCAGCUAAAAUAGCCCUAGCGCUAGAGCCAGUAAUAUAAUAUUAGAAAAUGUUGAUACUAAAUAUAAUAAACAUCACUGAAGAC